UACAGAGGAGCCAAGCGUUGUCCGGAUUGACUGGGCGUAAAGCGCACGCAGGCGGAUGCGCGCGUGGGGUGUGAAAUCUGGCCGCUUAACGGCCAGGCGCCAUCCCAUACGGCGUGUCUGGAGGGCUGCAGAGGUCGAUGGAAUUGCCGGUGUAGUGGUGAAAUGCGUAGAGAUCGGCAGGAACACCCAGGGGGAAACCAGUCGACUGGGCAGCACCUGACGCUGAGGUGCGAGAGCGUGGGGAGCGAACCGGAUUGAGAUACCGGUGUACGU
rnacentral:rRNA from 1 species